UGCCAAGCCUGGUGUCCUGAGUUCAGACCU
rnacentral:piRNA from 1 species